rnacentral:rRNA from 1 species
AGAGUUUGAUCCUGGCUCAGAUUGAACGCUGGCGGCAUGCCUAACACAUGCAAGUCGAACGGAAACGAUGGGAGCUUGCUCCCAGGCGUCGAGUGGCGGACGGGUGAGUAAUACUUAGGAAUCUGCCCAUUAGUGGGGGACAACUCGAGGAAACUCGAGCUAAUACCGCAUACGCCCUACGGGGGAAAGCGGAGGAUCCUUCGGGACUUCGCGCUAAUGGAUGAGCCUAAGUCGGAUUAGCUUGUUGGUGAGGUAAAGGCUCACCAAGGCAACGAUCCGUAGCUGGUCUGAGAGGACGAUCAGCCACACUGGGACUGAGACACGGCCCAGACUCCUACGGGAGGCAGCAGUGGGGAAUAUUGCACAAUGGGCGCAAGCCUGAUGCAGCAAUGCCGCGUGUGUGAAGAAGGCCUGCGGGUUGUAAAGCACUUUCAGUAGAGAAGAAAAGCCUAGGGUUAAUACCCCUGAGUCUUGACGUUACCUACAGAAGAAGCUCCGCUAACU